GGGGCGGGAAUCGGCCGGCGCCCAGGGUCGGCUGGUGCCCUGCCCUCUGUCCUUCCCACUCGCCCCGCCCGUGGUUCCCCUGGGCCUGGGUCCGCCCGCGACGGCCCCCAAGCUCCCACUGGGGCCUGGAGGACAGAGUUUACCGGAGAGACCCCCUUGUUGGAGAUCUCCCGCUGAAGGACGCGGCCGCGUCGCUGAAUUUGCCCGGAAGGGGGAGUAGGAGUUCUCCUGCCUGUCACUCUCAGUCAAGCCUCGUGAAUUUCUCUCGUUCCCUUCUACACGCGCCCUCCGCAGUCUCUUCAAAUUGUCAUCCCACCCUGACAGCUGCACUGCAUCAGUGGUGACAGGUCCAGGAACGCAGGCAGUGAAAAGAAGAGAUUGGACCUGGAAAAGAAACUUUAUGAACAUAGUCAAUCUGAUAUAUGCAGCAGGUAGUGAUCUCAGCUGGUCUUGAACCGCAAACUGGCUCCUGGCUGCAGCGCCAGCCUCAGUUCAGAUCUUCUGUUGUUAGCGAGUGGCUUGCGCAUGCGUGGUUCAGUCCGUCAGAAAGGUUAAGGAGAUGUAACCACCAGCCAUCCUGAAACUGACCAAAUGAGGCACUCAAGGGAGAUGUAACCACCAGCCAUCCUGAAACUGACCAAAUGAGGCACUCAAGGGAGAUGUAACCACCAGCCAUCCUGAAACUGACCAAGCCUCACCACAAGAGCUAUGCCCAUGACCUUUGCUUUAUUUUUAAUGCAAAGAUCUCUCCAGGAGGAGCUUAGGCCUCAUUAUGUGGAAGCAUGUUCUCCAACUGAGCCUGUGCUAGUGAAUACCCCCACCUCUCCCUUUUGAAUAUUAUUCCCCAACUGAAAUAAAAGUUCCUGCUUCCCUUAGUUCUGGGACGCCAUGACUUUGGAAAUGAUUCCUCACGGCCUCCUAUUUGCUGCAAAUACAGUUUACUUUGUGAGACAAC